rnacentral:tRNA from 2 species
GGGGGCGUUCCCGGAAGGCACAGGGGGCCGGAUUCAUAACCCGGCUGAUGGGGGUUCAAAUCCCCUCGCCCCCACCA